rnacentral:rRNA from 1 species
UGCGUAGGCGGUUUGGUAAGUCUUGUGUGAAAUCUCCAGGCUCAACUUGGAGUCUGCACGAGAAACUGCCGGGCUUGAGUGUGGGAGAGGUGAGUGGAAUUCCUGGUGUAGCGGUGAAAUGCGUAGAUAUCAGGAGGAACACCUGUGGCGAAAGCGGCUCACUGGACCACAACUGACGCUGAUGCACGAAAGCUAGGGGAGCAAACAGGAUUAGAUACCCUGGUAGUCCUAGCCCUAAACGAUGACUGCUCGGUGUGACGGGUACCCAAUCCCGCCGUGCCGUAGCUAACGCGUUAAGCAGUCCGCCUGGGGAGUACGGUCGCAAGGCUGAA